rnacentral:lncRNA from 13 species
AUGAUGAUUGUCUGUUGCUUUAGUGAUCAAAAUGAUCAACAGGAACAGAGAAUACCCAUUCAUGCUAGCAGAACAAAAUGGAUACAAUACAAUGUACUAACUCUUUUUUCCCCUGAAAUGCAUACUGACAAAGGUACUGACUGUACACUUUUAGGGCCCGUUGAUUGCGACAGCUUUUACAAAUGGAUACCAUUGAACAGGUGUUCGGUUGCCAUCUUAUUGGAGUAACCCUCUAUUUCACCUCACCAUCCUACAAACUUGUACAGGUACAGAAACACGCUUUUUUAAUAUGUCUAUUAAGCUAAAUGCAUGCAAUGGCAAAUUACUACAAGUCCAUGCUUUUACAAAACAACAUGAUUAAGCUUUGGUUGUGGAACUUGUCCUCCCUGAUUGACUGUAUACACUAAUCCUAUAGGCCUACAUAAAUGCUCCCUUAUUGACUGUAUACACUAAUCCUAUAGGCCUACAUAAAUGCUCCCUGAUUGACUGUAUACACUAAUCCUAUAGGCCUACAUAAAUGGAAAAACAAUAAUGAAGUUCUGGGAUUAAUUGACUGUGUAUUGUUGCUUUCUCUAGUUUGCAUUAAUGGCAGAUGAUUGGGUUUGUUCUCCGUCGCCCCCCCCCCCCAAAUAUUCCAAAACAUGUUAGGGACUUAACACUUUUGAAGCCUGGUCUGUCUACAUACAAUGCAUCACUCAGGCCAAUGUGUCAAAUAAAGCAUGCACAUGACAUGUCAAAUUCAGUGUAAUUCC